GGAAUAUUGCACAAUGGGCGCAAGCCUGAUGCAGCGACGCCGCGUGAGGGAUGACGGCCUUCGGGUUGUAAACCUCUUUCAGCAGGGAAGAAGCGCAAGUGACGGUACCUGCAGAAGAAGCACCGGCUAACUACGUGCCAGCAGCCGCGGUAAUACGUAGGGUGCGAGCAUUGUCCGGAAUUAUUGGGCGUAAAGAGCUCGUAGGCGGCCUGUCGCGUCGGAUGUGAAAGCCCGGGGCUUAACCCCGGGUCUGCAUUCGAUACGGGCAGGCUGGAGUUCGGUAGGGGAGAUCGGAAUUCCUGGUGUAGCGGUGAAAUGCGCAGAUAUCAGGAGGAACACCGGUGGCGAAGGCGGAUCUCUGGGCCGAUACUGACGCUGAGGAGCGAAAGCGUGGGGAGCGAACAGGA
rnacentral:misc_RNA from 1 species